rnacentral:misc_RNA from 1 species
CUCAGACUAAGCGUGUUGCUUUGCAAAAGAAAGCUGCUGCUGCUGCAUCUAAUGUGGGUGAGGAUUUCACUGGAGGGUUUCAGUCUGGAGAUGUGGAGGGCUCCACGAAAGAUGUUGGUGGAGAAGAACAAGGUCUAUCAAAUAUCAAAGUGCUGUGUAGGCUAUGCUUUUCCAGUGAAACCGAAGGAGGUGAAAGAGCAAGGAAGAUGAUGUCAUGCAAUUGUUGUGGGAAGAAGUAUCACCUAAGCUGCCUGAAAACUUGGGGUCAACAUAGAGAUCUCUUCCAUUGGAGUUCAUGGACAUGUCCGUCAUGCCGGCUUUGUGAGGGCUGUCGAAGAACUGGAGAUCCAAACAAGUUCA